CAGCCGCCGCGGGAAUACAGAGGGUGCAAGCGUUAAUCGGAAUUACUGGGCGUAAAGCGCGCGUAGGUGGUUUGUUAAGUUGGAUGUGAAAUCCCCGGGCUCAACCUGGGAACUGCAUCCAAAACUGGCAAGCUAGAGUAUGGUAGAGGGUGGUGGAAUUUCCUGUGUAGCGGUGAAAUGCGUAGAUAUAGGAAGGAACACCAGUGGCGAAGGCGACCACCUGGACUGAUACUGACACUGAGGUGCGAAAGCGUGGGGAGCAAACAGGAUUAGAGACCCGCGUAGUCCCUGUCUCUUAUAU
rnacentral:rRNA from 1 species